GAUGAAGAACGCAGCGAAAUGCGAUACUUGGUGUGAAUUGCAGAAUCCCGUGAACCAUCGAGUCUUUGAACGCAAAUUGCGCCCGAAGCCUCGGCUAAGGGCACGUCUGCCUGGGCGUCACGCAUCGCGUCUCCCCCAAACCGCCAAGGCGGAGGGGAAGGAAGAUGGCUUCCCGUGCCUCACCCGGCGCGGUUGGCCUAAAUUUGGAGCCCGCGGCACUUAGCUCUCGCGGCGAUAGGUGGUGAACAAGGCCUUGGCCGUGCAAACAACCCGCUGCGAAGCUCUAUGUCACGUGCGCUCGUCGGACCCUUUGAAGUUGCCUUCGGUGACUUAAAACCUUUGCGACCCCAGGUCAGGCGGGGCUACCCGCUGAAUUUAAGCAUAUCAAUAAGCGGAGGA
rnacentral:misc_RNA from 1 species